CUUCAAGGUGUCUUUUGUUAUGUUAAUCAGGCUGCUUCGGGAAAGCUCCUCAGUGUGGGGGCUGGUUGCUUCUGGAGCCCAUCAAGUGAUUAGAGGGUUGACACUCUAAGUCCCACCCUGCCCCCCACCCCCGGCCCCGGAGGGAGAGAGGGGCUGGAGAUUGAGUUCAAUCACGAAUGGUCAAUGAUUUAAUCGAUCACACGUAUGUAACGAGGCCUCCAUAAAAACCCCCAAAGAGAGGCCGGGGCUGGGAGAGUUUUUUGCUCGGCGAACACGUGGAGAUUCCGGGAGACGGGCGGCCUGGAGAGGGCAGGGGAGCUGUGCGCCCUUUCUCCAGACCUCGCCCUAUGGAUCUCUUCUUUCUGGGAGUUCCUGAGUUACAUCCUUCUAUAAUUAGCCGGUGAUCUACUACCUGGGAUCGAGUGGAAUACUGAAGCCGACCAGGAGCCUUGACUUGAUAUUCAAAAGAACAUUCCAACUUCCUGCCUGUAUGAUACGGAUGUCGUCAUGCUUAGCUGUAUGGAAAAUGUAACAAAAGCCUUUAAAACUGCAGAAUCUUUGCUGACUAGAGUUACGAAGGCUGGAAUUGUGAGAUGACGCCGGCAUGGCUGGGUUCUGGUGAGAGCUCUCCUCCAAGUUCUUGACUGCCGACUUCUUGGUAUCCUAACGCAACAGAAAGAGAGCUACCUGGUUCUCCGGCCUCUUAUGAGGGUACAGCCCCAUUCACCAGGGCUCCACCUUUGUGAACUAAAUACUUCCCAAAGGCCCCACCUCCAAACACAUGAACUUGGGGAAGACACAAAUAUUCCGUCUAUUGUAGACCUAGCUUAAAGUAUAUGACUCUGAGCACAUAGAGAAAAAGAUUUACAGCAGUUUGCAGAAAGGGCAAAAAUGAUAGGACACUUAGAAUCAUCAAUGACGUAUUAGUAAUUUGUAAUUGUUGGGAUAUAGUCAUCAAAUUAUUUGGAUUUAUGGCAAAUGCAUAUAAAGGCAACAAGUUAAUGUGGGAAAAUAAGGCCCAGUUUUAAUUUUGCAGGGGGGAAAUGCUAGCUCAAUAUUACAUGGUGUUGGGACAAAAGUGGUAUAUUGGCAGAUACUGGUAAUUAAUUCACUUGCAUCUUUCUUUAGAGAAGGUGAACCUAUAUUCUUUUUUUUUUUUUUAACUUUUUUAAUGUUUGUUUAUUUUGGGGAGAGAAAGAGACCCGGAGGGCG